rnacentral:rRNA from 1 species
AACGAACGCUGGCGGCAGGCUUAACACAUGCAAGUCGAACGCCCCGCAAGGGGAGUGGCAGACGGGUGAGUAACGCGUGGGAACGUGCCCUUCGCUUCGGAAUAGCCCCGGGAAACUGGGAGUAAUACCGAAUACGCCGUAUUGGGAAAGAUUUAUCGGCGAAGGAUCGGCCCGCGUUAGAUUAGCUAGUUGGCGGUGUAAUGGACCACCAAGGCUACGAUCUAUAGCUGGUCUGAGAGGAUGAUCAGCCACACUGGGACUGAGACACGGCCCAGACUCCUACGGGAGGCAGCAGUGGGGAAUCUUGGACAAUGGGCGCAAGCCUGAUCCAGCCAUGCCGCGUGAGUGAAGAAGGCCUUAGGGUUGUAAAACUCUUUCGCCGGAGAAGAUAAUGACGGUAUCCGGAGAAGAAGCCCCGGCUAACUUCGUGCCAGCAGCCGCCUGUAAAAC